CCCUCUCUCUCUCUCUCUCCCCCCCCCUCUACCCCUCCCCCUCCACCUCCCCCUCCCUCCUCUUCCCUCCCACACACCCGCUGACUCGACUGUGUGUUCAUCACCCUCGGCGUCACACCUGCAACAGCGCCCACCUGUUCAAACAACGGCAGAGUUCAACCCACGUCUGUACAGCGUCGACGGGAUCCCGGGGGCGUGGGCGUGGGGCGUGGGCGUACGUGUGGUAACGCCUAAUAUGGAGAAUUUCGCUGAUGACUCACGCAGAUUGCCUUUGCGGUUACCGCCGAUGUCAGCUGUGAGUGCCAAGAAGUAGGCGGCACUCCGGCGAAUGGCACUCUGUUCCCGGAUGGCCUGAGGAGAUAACGAACGACGGAGUCCAGAUGAUGGCGAAGUUGCAUGUGAAGAAAACACCUGAAAGAUUUUUGUGUAGGCCUACCAGGGAGUGAGGCUUAGGCAGCUGUGUGAUCGAGGAGAGACGGCCCAGUAUUGCCAGAUCGACAAAGAAGGUUAAUAGCCGUCAGGUACAAAGAUAAUAGAUAUGUAGAAGUGUUACCAGCAUCACUCGCUCUUAUUAUUAGCCUACCUCACUUUAUUCUUAUAUACAAUUUUAAGAAUAUGUAGAUAUCUGUACAUGUUAAAGUAUGUCUGAUAUUGUUAUCUAUUUUUUUUUAAUUGAAAUAAAGUGAAUUUGACGAUAA
rnacentral:lncRNA from 1 species